rnacentral:rRNA from 1 species
UACGUAGGGGGCAAGCGUUGUCCGGAAUUAUUGGGCGUAAAGAGCGUGUAGGCGGUCCGGUAAGUCAGCUGUGAAAGUCAAGGGCUCAACCCUUGAAUGCCGGUGGAUACUGUCGGACUAGAGUACGGAAGAGGCGAGUGGAAUUCCCGGUGUAGCGGUGAAAUGCGCAGAUAUCGGGAGGAACACCAAUUGCGAAGGCAGCUCGCUGGGACGUCACUGACGCUGAGACGCGAAAGCGUGGGGAGCAACAGGGAUUAAGAAACCCCGUAGUCCGGACAAUCUCGA